UCUUUCUCUUUUUCUUUUUUUCUUUUCUCUCUCUCUUUGUCUCUUUCUUUCUCUUCUUUUCUCUUUCUUUAAAACACAAACAAAAUGGACAGAAGGUUUAAA
rnacentral:ribozyme from 13 species